UUUUGCCAAACAAAAGGUUGCCAGUCAGUAGUGGCGGUGUGGUGCUUCUGCAGAUUUAUCGCCGCAAACCCAGGAAAUGGUGAAGGAAGUGACAAUGAAGAACCUUUGAUAUGGUCAGAAAAGUUCUCUUCACAAGGAACACAAACCAGACCCUCGCCCGGCUCCCACCGCCGCCCCCCGCCUCCAUACCCCCCAUAAGAGGGACAAGUCGCGCCGCGCCCUUCCCCUCCCCUCCCGCCCUGCUUGCCUCUGCCCUCCACUCUCCCACGACGGUGUACUGAUGGAUAAGUAAGGAGAGCAAGCCAUACCCCGCUACCAGAUCGUUCCGUCCCGCCACGACCGCCGCUCUUCCAGUCUCACCGUCAACCCUGCCACUGGAUCACCUAGCAAACUCCAGUAUCCGUAUAUGCUUCACGAAGUAACCACCAGCACUAGUGAAUAUAAAUGAAUUAAAGAUAAAUAGAUGAAAAAUAAAUUCUUUCGGUAUCCUUCAGGGAUUCAAGCUACCCCAGGCCCCUGGGUAAGUGACGCCCCUGGAAGGACAUCUGCACACAGCCUGCCAUGGUCUCGCCGGGCCGCCGCCGCAAGCCACGCUGCAAAAUUGUUGCUGUGUCAGGCUUCAGCGUUGCUCUUUUUAACCUACUUUUAAAGGGGAAAGUUUUUAAUGCUCUAAAUAUAGCCUUUUUAGAUUAUAAACAUUUAGCGCACAGUAAAGACUUUAAUGAUAAGAGUUUUUUUUAUUUGCUGCCACUAAUUACAGCGCUUGACUUCUAAUGUUUAUUGAUUCAUCAGCAUACUUUAAAUGCAAGCGUAGUUUACAAGUGAGUAAGCAUGUGCGCCUGCUUACGCAAGCCAGGAAGAAAAAAAAAAAAAGAAUGGAAAUUGGUCAGUAUUAUAUGAAA